AGUGAACGCUGGCGGUAGGCCUAACACAUGCAAGUCGAACGGCAGCACAGUAAGAGCUUGCUCUUACGGGUGGCGAGUGGCGGACGGGUGAGGAAUACAUCGGAAUCUACUUUUUCGUGGGGGAUAACGUAGGGAAACUUACGCUAAUACCGCAUACGGCCUACGGGUGAAAGCAGGGGAUCUUCGGACCUUGCGCGAUUGAAUGAGCCGAUGUCGGAUUAGCUAGUUGGCGGGGUAAAGGCCCACCAAGGCGACGAUCCGUAGCUGGUCUGAGAGGAUGAUCAGCCACACUGGAACUGAGACACGGUCCAGACUCCUACGGGAGGCAGCAGUGGGGAAUAUUGGACAAUGGGCGCAAGCCUGAUCCAGCCAUACCGCGUGGGUGAAGAAGGCCUUCGGGUUGUAAAGCCCUUUUGUUGGGAAAGAAAAGCAGUAGGUUAAUACCCCGCUGUUCUGACGGUACCCAAAGAAUAAGCACCGGCUAACUUCGUG
rnacentral:rRNA from 1 species